UAUACAUGCAGUCGAGCGGACAGAUGGGAGCUUGCUCCCUGAUGUUAGCGGCGGACGGGUGAGUAACACGUGGGUAACCUGCCUGUAAGACUGGGAUAACUCCGGGAAACCGGGGCUAAUACCGGAUGGUUGUUUGAACCGCAUGGUUCAAACAUAAAAGGUGGCUUCGGCUACCACUUACAGAUGGACCCGCGGCGCAUUAGCUAGUUGGUGAGGUAACGGCUCACCAAGGCAACGAUGCGUAGCCGACCUGAGAGGGUGAUCGGCCACACUGGGACUGAGACACGGCCCAGACUCCUACGGGAGGCAGCAGUAGGGAAUCUUCCGCAAUGGACGAAAGUCUGACGGAGCAACGCCGCGUGAGUGAUGAAGGUUUUCGGAUCGUAAAGCUCUGUUGUUAGGGAAGAACAAGUACCGUUCGAAUAGGGCGGUACCUUGACGGUACCUAACCAGAAAGCCACGGCUAACUACGUGCCAGCAGCCGCGGUAAUACGUAGGUGGCAAGCGUUGUCCGGAAUUAUUGGGCGUAAAGGGCUCGCAGGCGGUUUCUUAAGUCUGAUGUGAAAGCCCCCGGCUCAACCGGGGAGGGUCAUUGGAAACUGGGGAACUUGAGUGCAGAAGAGGAGAGUGGAAUUCCACGUGUAGCGGUGAAAUGCGUAGAGAUGUGGAGGAACACCAGUGGCGAAGGCGACUCUCUGGUCUGUAACUGACGCUGAGGAGCGAAAGCGUGGGGAGCGAACAGGAUUAGAUACCCUGGUAGUCCACGCCGUAAACGAUGAGUGCUAAGUGUUAGGGGGUUUCCGCCCCUUAGUGCUGCAGCUAACGCAUUAAGCACUCCGCCUGGGGAGUACGGUCGCAAGACUGAAACUCAAAGGAAUUGACGGGGGCCCGCACAAGCGGUGGAGCAUG
rnacentral:rRNA from 1 species